AUUGAACGCUGGCGGCAGGCCUAACACAUGCAAGUCGAACGAGUGGCGGACGGGUGAGUUAUGUCUGGGAAACUGCCCGAUGUAGGGGGAUAACUACUGGAAACGGUAGCUAAUCCCGCAUACUGUCGGAUGUUCCCAGCUGGGAUUAGCUAGUAGGUGGGGUAAUGGCUCACCUGGGUGACGAUCCCUAGCUGGUCUGAGAGGAUGACCAGCCAGACUGGAACUGAGACACGGUCCAGACUCCUACGGGAGGCAGCAGUGGGGAAUGUUGCACAAUGGGCGCAAGCCUGAUGCAGCCAUGCCGCGGGUAUGAAGAAGGCGUUCGGGUUGUAAAGUACUUUCAGCGAGGAGGCGUUACUCGCAGAAGAAGCACCGGCUAACUCCGUGCCAGCAGCCGCGGUAAUAC
rnacentral:rRNA from 1 species